GGUGUCUCUUCGCCCCCUCAGAAGAGGCUGCUAGCAGCGGGAAUGUAAACCUGCAGAUGAAAAACAAUUGUGAGGAGGAAUCCAGUUAAAUCGGGGGGCUGUUGACCAGGUGGCGCUGUAGACGGGGCGAGAUGAGUUCUGACUGUGGCGCUGCGAUCUUUGAUUCCUCUCCCCGUCACUGGGACAGUGGCUCCAGUCGUUCUCCCCCCCGGUGCUUCACAUGUAGGAUGCCUUUUAUUAAGCCGUGGUUUUCCAGUGAGGAUCCAAACAGCACGCCGGAUGACGUUGUCUUACACCUUAGACUCCUUCGGAUAAGUGUCCCCUUGCCAGGCUAGCUAAGCAUCAGGUUCAUGGGCACCACAGUCAUCACCCUGGAGGAAGUGCAGGCGCUGGAGGACAAGGAGGAGCAAGAGGAAUCCACCCUGGCCUUGUUAGGCAUCAUUGGCACGUUCCUUAACCUCUUUGUAAUUGUUUUUGUUUACGUUUACACCACGCUGUGAAGUGCAAACCUUAUUAGGCUCUAAAAACCUGUCGCCAGAAAAGACUUCUCUAAGAAAUUAGGGAUGUUGGGCGGUGAUCUGUCGCACAAGCCGUGUGACUUUUGACCUUUCCUGUCAUGUGUGUGCCAAUAAAACAUUGAGGGGAGUCGGGAAGCAAAGGUCAACGACAAAGUGACAUAUUGGGGGAGGUUGAUAUGAACAUCUUCCUCAGAGGGAGGAGGAAGCAGGACAGGCUAGAUAUGGCUGAAGAUGAAGAAGCCAUAUUCACCAAGUCACACCCAUGAGCCGGGCAGAGAACUAAGGGCUGGCAGCCAUGGCAGCAACUAGGCUGAGCAGAGCCAGCAAGCCCCCUGUGGCCUGAUGGGAAACACAAACUUGCACUUGAUCGGCUUUUUCUUGACUCCUGCACUGGCAGGAAAGAUGAGCCAAACAAGACAUUGAGGGUUCUCCAUUCAUCCUUUGUUAACGUUUCAGUUGGUGGGACUACGAAAGCGACCUGCACUGAAGGGAUUUUAGGAAACAAGAUUUUCAGCAGGGGGGAAACCACUAACUGUGCUGUGGGGAUUCAUUGUUCUACUGCAGCUUCAGGGCCUCUGCCCACAGACGGAGCUCUGAAUGAGCUCUCCUGUAAUGCAAGUUCCUAAAUGAACGGCUGGAUCAAAUAUAAUACAAUAUGUGACACAAAUCUAACAUGAUCAAGGUUACUGGGUUGAGCCAGAAAUGAAAAAUAAUGAAAAAUGUAGCUCUUUUUACAGAUUAAAGUGAGCCUAUUUUCCACAUUU